rnacentral:rRNA from 1 species
AGAGUUUGAUCCUGGCUCAGAAUCAACGCUGGCGGCGUGCCUAACACAUGCAAGUCGAACGAGAAAGGGGAGCAAUCCCUGAGUAAAGUGGCGCACGGGUGAGUAACACGUGACUAACCUACCCUGGAGUGGGGAAUAACUGAGGGAAACCUUAGCUAAUACCGCAUAACACCUACGGGUCAAAGGAGCAAUUCGCUUCAGGAGGGGGUCGCGGCCGAUUAGUUAGUUGGCGGGGUAGUGGCCCACCAAGACGAUGAUCGGUAUCCGGCCUGAGAGGGCGCACGGACACACUGGAACUGAAACACGGUCCAGACUCCUACGGGAGGCAGCAGUGGGGAAUUUUGCGCAAUGGGGGAAACCCUGACGCAGCAACGCCGCGUGGAGGAUGAAGUACUUCGGUACGUAAACUCCUUUCGAUCGGGACGAUAAUGACGGUACCGAGAGAAGAAGCCCCGGCUAACUUCGUGCCAGCAGCCGCGGUAAUACGAGGGGGGCGAGCGUUGUUCGGAAUUAUUGGGCGUAAAGGGUGCGUAGGCGGUUUGGUAAGUCUGAUGUGAAAUCUAUGGGCUCAACUCAUAGUCUGCAUCGGAAACUGCCGGGCUUGAGUAUGGGAGAGGUGAGUGGAAUUCCUGGUGUAGCGGUGAAAUGCGUAGAUAUCAGGAGGAACACCUGUGGCGAAAGCGGCUCACUGGACCAUAACUGACGCUGAUGCACGAAAGCUAGGGGAGCAAACAGGAUUAGAUACCCUGGUAGUCCUAGCCCUAAACGAUGACUGCUUGGUGUGACGGGUACCCAAUCCCGCCGUGCCGUAGCUAACGCGUUAAGCAGUCCGCCUGGGGAGUACGGUCGCAAGGCUGAACUCAAAGGAUUGACGGGGGCCCGCACAAGCGGUGGAGCAUGUGGUUUAAUUCGACGCAACGCG